UUCUGUUACACUCUGCAUGUCCGAGAUCAAGCAAACUUCUUGGCAUGCAACUGGGGUUGAUCAAAUCAAACUCGCUCAGCUCUCUUUCCAGUUGAAGCCCUCAAGAAAACUCACCUUUUUGGUUGGUCCUUGGAUCUUGUGAAGUUGGUGGUUGCUACAAGGUUGCAUUGAGGCCAAGUACUGCAAGGGAAAGCUCGAGUUCCAGGCUGUUGCUGUCGAAGCUUGGGUAUGGAGGAUUAUUUUUGGAGGCCACAAAUUGUUUUAUCUAAAGUUUAUUUUUCUCUUUAUUUGGCAUGUUUGAUCUCGUUAAAUUUUUGUAAAGACGUGUAUAGUUGAUGAUGUGUGUGAUUGCUUACCACCAAAGUGAGACAUUAGGGUUAGAACCUCCACUUGAGUCUAGGUCAUAGUGGGCUAGACUUAGAAGACUCACAUUAAAUUCUAUUCAAUGAACCUAAUGUAAACUCGGGCUAAAAACUAAAAAUAGCGUAGGUUUUAAAUUCAACACAAC